GGGCUAUUUCCGGUCGGGAUUAGUUCGGGGCGUGACACCUAGCCAGAUCCAUGUUGCAUGUUAAUUAUGACAUGGGUUGUGCUAUUUCUUGGUGGAGAAGAUCGUUAAGUAUCUCCUGGCAUGCAUGCCGCUGCCAUCAACAUUCUUUCUUGAUGGCUGUGAGCAUGUCAUAUUUUAUCUGGUGUUAUCCCGGCUGAUGAGCAUCCCGUUCGAUUUUUUUUUCUUUGUUUACAUUGGUUAAGCUUGAUGUAUUUUUCAGAUUUGCUUCCAUGGAUCAGUUUGGUCAGGUAGUCUUGUUGCAAUGCAGAGUUUUAGAUAUGAACGGUUCAUAUACUUCAUAUCAUAGUUGUACACAGUGGUUUCUUCUAAUCAUUCCCAUCUGAUUCUUGGGAGUAGCCAAAUUAGUACAUGGUCAGAUAUUAGGAAGGAAGAGCAGUAUAAUAUCUAUGUGCAGUUUAGUUCUAAUUUACCGGCUAUUCUCACACGUUGGCUUUUUUUAUUGACUGAGAUAUCAUUUUCACUACAGUCCAAAUGUGUUGGUCAAUUCAUAAUCGAUCAGCAGGCCUGGAAUUUGUCUCAAGGUAUAUACAUGGAAUAGUGUUCCAAUAUGAGUAGUGACUAAAGCAGAUUAAUUUGAAUUGUGAACAGAGACUCUGUCAAAUAAUCAGUCCAAAUGUGCUAGUCAAUUCAUAAUCGAUCAGCAGGCCUGGAAUUUGUCUCAAGGUAUAUACAUGGAAUAGUGUUCCAAUAUGAGUAGUGACUAAAGCAGAUUAAUUUGAAUUGUGAACAGAGACUCUGUCAAAUAAUCAGACUCUGUCAAAUAAUCAGGUCAGUACUAAAAUUCUAUUGAUCACUAUAAAAUUACAAUCUCAUUUGAUGUUGCCUUUUUCCUGGUGAUCAUAGGAGUGACCCCUUUUUUCAUGCUUCAAAGGCAUAUGGUUUUGUAUAAAAUUCCAUUUCUCAGUAUAGAAGUUAAAACUCUCAUUUUUGUCUGAACUAAUAAACUAUAUUGUUCUUCUCCAAGAUUUGUUCACUAAGUUGCAAUUGAUAGCACAUUUCUACAUUUUCUUGGCGCGUCCAUUUGUGCCUCCACAGUUGCCUAAUAUGCUACCACUGACAUUUCUUAUUAUUCAUUCCUGUUUCUUAGAGAAUUGUAUUUAUCUAUGCAAAAUUGCAACUCGAUGUACUGAGGAUUCUAUAAGCUUUUAAAGAUUACUAUGAACACACAGUGUACUGUCCAGAGAAUUACUCAGAUUCAUUUAUGUCUUUAAUGGAUUAGAUUCCAUGUAAAUUCAGUUGUAAUCCUUUAAGAUGAUUUUCAGUUUUGUAUAUAUAUAUAGUUUGUUCAAGGCAUAUAACUUGAAAUUUAGCAUGUACCAGAAGAUUAUUAUCAGCAGACCCCAAAAAGGUCACACUCCAAUUUUGAUUUAUCAAGUGCAUGACCCUUGAUAAAUUUACUCAUGUGUGUGAUGUCCGUGACUGCUUCCCGAAGCACCAACCAAUUUUGUUUUGAGGAAAACAUCAACUAACUAUGUAUCACCUGAGAGGGUAAUAUUCAGAACUUGUGAUCUUAGAAAAUGAAACCG